rnacentral:tRNA from 1 species
GGGCCUGUAGCUCAACUGGUUAGAGCGCCACGAUGGCAUCGUGGAGGUUGUCGGUUCGACCCCGAUCAGGUCCACCA